rnacentral:rRNA from 1 species
CCUACGGGAGGCAGCAGUGAGGAAUAUUGGUCAAUGGACGAGAGUCUGAACCAGCCAAGUAGCGUGAAGGAUGACUGCCCUAUGGAUUGUAAACUUCUUUUAUAUGGGAAUAAAGUGUUCCACGUGUGGGCUUUUGUAUGUACCCUGUGAAUAAGGAUCGGCUAACUCCGUGCCAACAGCCGCUGUAAUACGGGGGAUCCGAGCGUUUUCCGGAUUUAUUGGGUUUAAAGGGAGCGUAGGUGGAUCGUUAAGUCAGUUGUGAAAGUUUGCGGCUCAACCGUAAAAUUGCAGUUGAAACUGGCAGUCUGGAGUACAGGAGAGGUGGGCGGAAUGCGUGGUGUAGCGGUGAAAUGCUUAGAUAUCACGAAGAACUCCGAUUGCGAAGGCAGCUUACCGGAGUGCAACUGACACUGAGGCUCGAAAGUGUGGGUAUCAAACAGGAUUAGAUACCCCAGUAGUC